rnacentral:tRNA from 1 species
GUGGGUAUAACUCAGUGGUAGAGUGUAUGCUUAGCAUGCACAAGGUCCUGGGUUCAAUCCCCAGUACCUCCA